rnacentral:rRNA from 1 species
AGCUUGCUUCUCUUGAGAGCGGCGGACGGGUGAGUAAUGCCUAGGAAUCUGCCUGGUAGUGGGGGAUAACGUUCGGAAACGAACGCUAAUACCGCAUACGUCCUACGGGAGAAAGCAGGGGACCUUCGGGCCUUGCGCUAUCAGAUGAGCCUAGGUCGGAUUAGCUAGUUGGUGAGGUAAUGGCUCACCAAGGCGACGAUCCGUAACUGGUCUGAGAGGAUGAUCAGUCACACUGGAACUGAGACACGGUCCAGACUCCUACGGGAGGCAGCAGUGGGGAAUAUUGGACAAUGGGCGAAAGCCUGAUCCAGCCAUGCCGCGUGUGUGAAGAAGGUCUUCGGAUUGUAAAGCACUUUAAGUUGGGAGGAAGGGCAUUAACCUAAUACGUUAGUGUUUUGACGUUACCGACAGAAUAAGCACCGGCUAACUCUGUGCCAGCAGCCGCGGUAAUACAGAGGGUGCAAGCGUUAAUCGGAAUUACUGGGCGUAAAGCGCGCGUAGGUGGUUUGUUAAGUUGGAUGUGAAAUCCCCGGGCUCAACCUGGGAACUGCAUUCAAAACUGACUGACUAGAGUAUGGUAGAGGGUGGUGGAAUUUCCUGUGUAGCGGUGAAAUGCG